UACAGAGGCCUCGAGCGUUAGGCGGAAUCACUGGGCUUAAAGCGUGUGUAGGCGGACCCCUAAGUACCUUGUGAAAUCCCACGGCUCACCCGUGGAACGGCUGGGUAUACUGGAGGUCUUGAGCCACCUAGGGGCGAGUGGAACAAAUGGUGGAGCGGUGAAAUGCGUAGAUAUCAUUUGGAACGCCAAUGGUGAAAACAACUCGCUGGGGGUGUGCUGACGCUGAGGUGCGAAAGCGUGGGGAGCAAACAGG
rnacentral:rRNA from 1 species